UACGUAGGGUGCAAGCGUUGUCCGGAAUUAUUGGGCGUAAAGAGCUCGUAGGCGGUUUGUCGCGUCUGCUGUGAAAACUCAGGGCUUAACCCUGAGCCUGCAGUGGGUACGGGCAGACUAGAGUGUGGUAGGGGAGACUGGAAUUCCUGGUGUAGCGGUGAAAUGCGCAGAUAUCAGGAGGAACACCGAUGGCGAAGGCAGGUCUCUGGGCCACUACUGACGCUGAGAAGCGAAAGCGUGGGGAGCGAACAGG
rnacentral:rRNA from 1 species